CUCCAAUAGCGUAUAUUAAAGUUGCUGCGGUUAAAAAGCUCGUAGUUGGAUCUCAGUUCCGGUCCGACGGUCCGCCUACCGGCGGUCACUGUCGGUGCCGAACACGCGGUCGGUUUCCCCCGAUGAUCUUCACCGGUUGUCUCGGGUGACCGACAAGUUUACUUUGAAAAAAUUAGAGUGCUCAAGGCAGGCGCGACGAC
rnacentral:rRNA from 1 species